rnacentral:lncRNA from 1 species
UCCAAGAAUGCAAGAGGAAAAGAAACCUGCAAGAAGAGAGACCCUCCUCAUGCUCCUACUACUCAUCGCCGGUGUCGUUGCGAUUUUCUCUGGCACCAAAACCACCGGAAGAAAUGAUCACAUUGCCCUGGUCCAAAGAAUCUGCAAAAAAACACUAUACCCGUCAACUUGUCACUCUACUCUCUCCUUCCCUAUAUCAACUAUAGUUACCACCAAAAGAACAGUAUUGGACCUCGCCUUGACAACCGUCAACACUGCCAUCAAAUCCAUCAUCCACGCUCGAUUGAAGAUCAAACGCCUUAGAUCACUACCUCGUUCUCCUGCUACUAAAGACUGUCUAUUGAUGCUCG